GCUCAGUGGCGAACGGGUGAGUAACACGUGAGUAACCUGCCCUUGACUUUGGGAUAACUUCAGGAAACUGGGGCUAAUACCGGAUAGGAGCUCCUGCUGCAUGGUGGGGGUUGGAAAGUUUCGGCGGUUGGGGAUGGACUCGCGGCUUAUCAGCUUGUUGGUGGGGUAGUGGCUUACCAAGGCUUUGACGGGUAGCCGGCCUGAGAGGGUGACCGGCCACAUUGGGACUGAGAUACGGCCCAG
rnacentral:rRNA from 1 species